CGCUGAAGCACCUUCGGGUGUGGAUGAGUGGCGAACGGGUGAGUAACACGUGGGUAACCUGCCCUGUACUUUGGGAUAAGCCCUGGAAACGGGGUCUAAUACCGAAUAUGACUCGCUAAGGCAUCUUGGUGGGUGGAAAGUUUCGGCGGUACAGGAUGGGCCCGCGGCCUAUCAGCUUGUUGGUGGGGUAGUGGCCUACCAAGGCGACGACGGGUAGCCGGCCUGAGAGGGUGACCGGCCACACUGGGACUGAGACACGGCCCAGACUCCUACGGGAGGCAGCAGUGGGGAAUAUUGCACAAUGGGCGGAAGCCUGAUGCAGCGACGCCGCGUGAGGGAUGACGGCCUUCGGGUUGUAAACCUCUUUCGCCAGGGACGAAGCGCAAGUGACGGUACCUGGAGAAGAAGCACCGGCUAACUACGUGCCAGCAGCCGCGGUAAUACGUAGGGUGCAAGCGUUGUCCGGAAUUAUUGGGCGUAAAGAGCUCGUAGGCGGCUUGUCGCGUCUGCUGUGAAAAUCCGGGGCUUAACUCCGGACCUGCAGUGGAUACGGGCAGGCUUGAGUUCGGUAGGGGAGACUGGAAUUCCUGGUGUAGCGGUGAAAUG
rnacentral:rRNA from 1 species